UCGCUGAAGCCAAAUACGUCUGUGAUAUUUCCAUCAUCGCCUCCACUGUCGUCGACACCAUCCAUGAUCGUUGUCGUCGUCCAGCAGGUGAGUAGUCCUUUCGACGCCAACUGCCGCUGCACAAUUCAACAUAGGCUACUCCAGCAGCCUAAGCAGCUCCAACAAGAGCUUCUCGAGGUCCGGCGGAUGCACACUGGGGGCCAUGGGGGCACCGGCCCCCACUGGAUUUGGGAAAACAAACUAAUUAAUAAGCCCGACGGCCUCUUAAAUUUCUAUUCUAUUGCAUCCGCUAGUCGCGUAACACACCUGCUCGGAGUCGGAACGUUGCCGCCGGCCGCCCAUUCAACGUCUCGUAACAUCUCGCAUCCACUGGUCGCAUAACAUCCAAGCCCGAGCGCUGCAGCCGGCCGCCCAUUCAACGGUGUCCAAGCUUGAAAGCUGCCGCCGGCUGCCCAUCAACGUCGUCCAAGCCUGAACGCCACCGGUCGCCCUCUUCAGUGCCCAACGCCCUGGAUAAAAAAUUAAGGCGACAAUGGAGAGGCAAAGAGCCCAAAGUGUGAGGAAGAAUUUAAAAAAAAAAAAAGUGUGAGGAAGAAUUCAAAACCAUCUCUCUCUUGAAGUGGGGAGAAGCAUGAAGAGGAGUGCAUCUGACUGGGAUCUCGACGAGCUCUUGUCGGAGCUAAUAAAGCUGGUGGAGUUUCCACCAUCGCAUGGUGCAACAGAGGGUGUGGUAAUCAACAUAGCCCUUUGGCAACAUCAAAGGGACAAUUCACCUGCUAGAUGACGCAGAAGAUUAUAGGUGUUGUCUGCGACAGUGGAGAUGAUGAUGGAAAUAUCACAGACGUAUUUGACUUCAGCAAUGGAGUAAGCAAUAGGUAAUAGUUAAGUUCUACCAUCUUGCCCAAUUAUACAAUUUGUUUACUAUUUUUUUAUCAGAUCCAGUAGAGAUUAUCAAAGAAUGUGUAAAGGUUGUUCAAACACCUUUUGCUAGCUUUGAAGAGUCGUACUUAAUAAUCUGAACAAGAGUAACCUUUCAA